rnacentral:lncRNA from 1 species
AGAAGGAUUUUUUUUUCUUCAUGAUGAUCUGGUUCAGAUCCCAUCGGAUCUGCGCGAAAGAGUUCGCGCAGCGAUCUCCUUUAAAAUUUGGAAGAAGAGAUCUAGAUCCAAGGAUGAAGAGCGAGAUUUGCAAGGUGCUAGCACACCGGUGAUCUCGGUGCUCCGAUCAGACAUCUUCGUGUGGAUACCAGCAGAGGUCGGAUGCAUGCGUGGCUACGAUCAAAACCCGGG